CAGCAGCCGCGGUAAUACGAGGGGGGCAAGCGUUGUUCGGAAUUAUUGGGCGUAAAGGGUGCGUAGGCGGUUCGGCAAGUCUUGUGUGAAAUCUUCGGGCUCAACCCGAAGCCCGCACGAGAAACUGCCGGGCUUGAGUAUUGGAGAGGUGAGUGGAAUUUCCGGUGUAGCGGUGAAAUGCGUAGAUAUCGGAAGGAACACCUGUGGCGAAAGCGGCUCACUGGACAAUAACUGACGCUGAUGCACGAAAGCUAGGGGAGCAAACAGGAUUAGAUACCCCCGUAGUCCCUGUCUCUUAUAC
rnacentral:rRNA from 1 species